rnacentral:rRNA from 1 species
AACGAAGUGAAUUGAAAUAUCUUAGUAACUUCAGGAAGAGAAAUCAAACGAGAUUGUUAUUUGGUGUCAACUAAAUAACAAGAGCCUAUUAACAAAACUUGUUAAAGUAAAACGGACUAAAAUCUGUUUGAAUAUAGGGGAACCUUCCUCUAAGGCUAAAUAUGAUAUAUAAGCGAUAGUGAAAAGUACCGUGAGGUAAAAUUUGAAAUAGUAGUUUUAUAAGCAGCUCGAGUGAAAAUUUAAAUAAAUAAUAAGAGCGUACCUUUUGCAUAAUGGGUCAGCAAGUUAAUUUUAGAUGCAAGCAAUGAUUUCAUCAAUAGAUUGAUGGAACUAGCUUAGAUAAACCAAUUAUGAGAAAAUGAUUAAGUAUCUAGAAUUAGACCCGAAGGCUAGUGAUCUUACCAUGGUCAGGGUUAUAAAAGCCCGAACGGGUUAUCGUUGUAUAGAUAUCCGAAGAAUUGUGGUAAGUUAGUGAAAGACAAAACUGACUAGUAUAGCUGGUUUUCCGCGAAACCUAUAUGAGUAGGUAAUUCAAUUCACAUCUUAGCAGGUACAGAACUGUGAUCUCGGACAAUAUCUUUUGAUUUUGUCAACAUCGGGGGGUUGUAGUGACUUUACCGGAGAGUAUUUGCACUCGGAAUGGCAAAGAUGAAUGUUGAAUAAUCGGACAUAGUGCGAUAAGGUUGUAUGUCAAAAGGGAAACAGCCCAGAACAAGAGUUAAGGUUCCAAAAUUAUUGUUGAGUGAAAUUAAGGAUGUUUUUUUUUAAUACAAUCAGGAAAUAGGCUUAGAAGCGGCCAUUUUUUGAAGACCUCGUAACAGAGCACUGAUUAAAUUUUCUUAGAAAAAAACACCGAAAAUUUAACGGAUCUAAACAAUAUACCGAAACCUUGUACACAUAUUAUAAUUAUAAAAUUGUAUAUGUGGGGUAGCGGAACAUUGGAUAAAUAUUAGUUAUUAUUUCUUCUAAGAAGUAAUAAGUAUGAAUAAUUUUUAAUAAAAUAAAUAUAAUCUUAUUAUAUUAAAAAAAUAUAGUGGUUUAUAUGAAUAAAUAUUAAUAUUAUUCAUCGAUAUAAUCCAAGAGAGAAUGCUGACAUGAGUAACGAAAAAGGAAUAUCCUCGCCUUAAGCUUAUGGUAUUAUAUUUAAUUUUCGGUAUCUAAAAAUAUUAAUCAAAAGGUAAUUUUGAUGAUGUUUAUAUAUUAAUGCUUAAGAGUAAAAAGCAAAACCUUUAACAAGUAAUAAAGGUUCUGGAAAAUUUUUUACUUUAAAUAAAAUUUAUUUUGUAUAGCUAUAUAACUUCUUGUUACAAGUUUUCAAGAUUGUAUAGCAUUAUAUGCAAAGUAUAUUUUUAUUUUUAUACUAUUUUUAUAGUAUAAUAAGAUUUAUAUAUACCGUACCUAGAUACUAUCACAAGUAAGCAAGUAGAGAAUACAAAGGCGUUUGAGUGAACAAUCAUUAAGGAACUCGGCAAAUUGACUACCGUAACUUCGGGAUAAGGAGGGCCAUUAUCAUUAGUUUAACAUAUCUUAGGAUAUGAUUUAAUUAAAUUAAUGGUAAGAGGAAACAUGAAAUAAUGUUGUACGACUGUUUAAUAAAAACACAGCACUCUGCAAAGAUAAAAUAUCUAAGUAUUGAGUGUGAUGUCUGCCCAAUGUCGGCUGGGUAACGGAUUUACCUCGGUUUUUAACUUAGGUUUUGAAGGAUACCCCGAUUAAUGGCGGCCUUACCUAUGAGGGUCCUAAGGUAGCGAAAUACCUUGGCCGUUAAAUGCGGUCCUGCAUGAAUGACUUAACGAUACAACAGCUGUCUCGAUGAUUGUCUCAGUGAAAUUGGAAUAGCAGUGCAGAUACUGUUUACCUCUAGAUAGACGAGAAGACCCUAUGCAGCUUUACUGUUACUAAUUGCAAGAGUGAAAAUUUAGGAUGAUUGCGAGUGUAUAAGGUAGUUGUUUGAUAACAAUGAAACACCUUUAUUCGUUUCCUAUUAUAUGCUCUUGAGGAUUAGGAGGCAGUUUAUGCGGGGCACAGAUCCCACAAAAAGUACCUGGGUAUAUCCAAAGUUCAUUUUGUAAAUUUGUAAAUUUUAUUUACAAUUAUUUUAAUUUGUUAUAAUUAUAUUUAUAAUUAUACAGUUAUUGUUAGAUUAAAUUCAAUAUUUAUAUUUAUUUUAAGUAAGAUUUUAACUAUAUGGUGAAUAGAUGUAUUUUAAACUUUAAUAUUUAAAAGUUUUUUGUCAUAUUAAUAUUGUAUAUUUUACCUUUAUUAAUAUGAUGAUUAAUUAUACUUUCAAAGUUUAAUGGCUAAAUCUUGCUUUACUGUUUGACCUACAAGUCUAUCAGUCGCGUAAGCGGGGCAUAUGAUCACAAGAUGCAUAAAGGAAAGGUCUUGGAUUAUAGAAAAAGUUACGCUAGGGAUUUAGAACUGUGAGUCCUCCAAUAUUUAAAAAUAUUGGUAAUAUAUUGGGUAAAUUUCAAAGAUAACUUAAUUUAAUUUAAGUGUAUUUGAAGCGAAACUUAUUUUAGCAAUAAGCAAUAGUAUUAUAUUGCUUAAUCAUAGAAUUUAAUUUUAUGAUAAAAUAAGGACGUUCAACGACUAAAAGGUGAGUAUUGCUAACAAUAAUCCUUUUUUUAAUGCCCAACAUCUUUAUUAGCUUUAAAUAAUAUUGUAUAAUUAUUAUUAUUACAUUGUAAUAGUGAUGAAAUAGACUUGAUUAAUAUUCAAGCUUAAUAUUAUAUAAUUAAUAAAUAUUAAUUAUAUUAAUAUCUUAAUAUGUUUACAAAUAUGCUAAAUAUUAUAAAAUCAAAAUUAAAUAAUACAUAUAAGAAAAAAUCAUUAAAUAAUGAAAAUGUUACCAUACGUAAUAAAGAUUUUGUACCUGCUGUAAGAGAUUGAAAAAAUAGUAUUUAUGUUUAUAACAAAAAUACAUUAAGUUUAAUCCCUGUAGCAAGUAGAUUAGUAAUGAAAUUAAUUAAAGGUUAUUUAAAUUCAUAUAAUUUAUUUAUAGAAAAAAACUUAAGAAAAGAAAGAUUACGUCGUAGAUUAAGAAAAUUAUCUACAAAUAGAAUCUUUGUUAGUGAUGGUGAAUUUAAACAUACUAAUGAUAAUGUUAAUAUAACAUUAUAUGUAUAUAAUAGACAAAAAUUAAAUUAUUUAUUAAAAUUAAGAAAAAGAUAUACAAGAUUAUUUAAAAAAGCUAGAUUUGUAAGAAAAUUACAAUUAAUAAGAAAUGUAGGAUUGAAUAUAUUAAAACAACAAGAACAAAAAAGUAAAAUAUUAACAAAUGUUUUACCUAAUUAUAGUUCAAAAUUAUAUUCAGUACAAAACGUUUAUUAUAGAAAUUUUAUAAGAAAAUCUAUAAGAAGACUAAAAUACUACAUGUAUUAUAAACAAUUACUUUAUAUCAACAAAGCUAAAUUUGAGAAUUCUUAUUUACAAGGUUUAAUAAAUUUACUAAGAAAAAUAUAUAAUAAAAAUGUAGAAUUUAAUAUCAUUAAUUUAAAAUAUUUUUAUUUUAAUAGUGAUAUAUUCGCACAACCAUUAGUAUUAAAAUUAAGAAAGAAAAGAAAAUUAUUAAGAUAUCUUAAAGCUUUAGUUAGAAAAGCAAAAAUUAAAGAUAUUAAAUUAAAUGAAAGACCUAAAUAUUUCUUUGAAUUAGAUAAUUUAUUUACUGUAAAUAAUCUUGAUACAACAAAUAAUUUAUUGAAUAAUUUAAUGCAACAUAAUAAGAUAAGUUCAGAAUAUCUUAAAAAAGUAGUAUUAAGUGAUAUAAAAUAUAAAAGAGUAUCAGGAGUUAGAAUAGAAGCUGCAGGUAGAUUAACUAAACGUUAUACUGCAUCUAGAUCUCAACAUAAAGUAAGAUAUAAAGGUAAUUUAGUUAAUGCUUACUCAUCUAUUAAAGGUUAUCCUUCUUCUGUAAUAAGAGGAAAUUAUAAACCUAAUUUAGAAUAUACAAAAUUAAAUUCAAAAUCACGUAUUGGAUCUUUUGGAGUUAAAGGUUGAGUAAGUGGAAUUUAAUAAUAAUAUCUCUUACCUAAUAAAGUUAAUAAAGAUGAUGAAAUAGUCUGAACCAUUUUGAAAAAAGUGGAAAUAAAAGGAAAACCUUUUAUGAUAACAAGAAUUGAACAGGCUAAUUUGCGCAAGAGAGUACAAAUUGAGUGCGCGGUUUGGCACCUCGAUGUCGGCUUAGCUCAUCCACAUGAAUGCAAAAAUCAUGAAGGGUUCGACUGUUCGUCGAUUAAAGAGCUACAUGAGCUGGGUUUAAUACGUCGUGAGACAGUAUGGUUUCUAUCUUCUAGAGGGAAUUAAAGUAGAAUAAAGAUAGCCCCUUCGUACGAAAGGAGUUGGGUAUAUUGACCUAUGGUUUACCUGUUGUUUAUGCUAGACCUCUUAAUGAGGUCUCAUUUACUUAUACUUAAGUAAAUUGUUCACAUAGGCAUGGCAGGAAGGCUACGUCAGUUAAAGAUAAGUGCUGAAAGCAUUUAAGCGCGAAGCUUACUUUAGGAUACUUUUAAACGUAGUAGAACACUACGA